CUGGUUUUUCUUGUAUCUUCCAUUUUCCAGUGUGCCCUUACAUGGCGCAUAUAUAUUGUUAAGUAUCUCCAUCCCUUCAUGCCAUCUCUCUCCUCCCUCAUUCUCUCCAUUUCCUCAUUGUUUCCUGAUGAUGAUGCCACUCAUGUUUUAAUUGCUUCAUCUUGUAUGUAUCUGACUGUGUUUCUUGCUCUCUCACUCUCUCUGAGUGUUUGUGGCUGUGUGUUGCCGUGCCUCUAUAUCUCAAUGUGUUCUGACACUAUCUCUCCCUCUCCCUUUCUUUGUCUCUACCACAGUUUGUUCUGACACUAUCUCUCCCUCUCCCUUUCUUUGUCUCCACCACAGUUUGUUCUGACACUAUCUCUCCGUCUCUCUGUCUCCACCACAGUUGUUCUGACACUAUCUCUCCCUCUCCCUCUCUGUGUCUCUACCACAGUUUGUACUGACACUAUCUCUCCCUCUCUCUGUCUACCAGUUUGUUCUGACUAUCUAUCCCACUCCCUCUGUGUCUACCACAGUUGUUCUGACACAAUCUCUCCCUUUCACUGUCUCUAACACAGUUUGUUCUGACAAUCUCUCCCUCUCCCUCUCUCUGUGUCUACCACAGGUUGUUCUGACACUAUUUCUCCCUCUCUCUUUCCUUGUCUCCACCACAGUUUGUUCUGACACUAUCUCUCCCUCUCUCUGUUUCCACCACAAUUGUUCUGACACUAUCUCUCCCUCUCCCUCUCUGUGUCUCUACCACAGUUUGUUCUAACACUAUCUCUCCCUCUCCCUCUCUGUGUCUCUACCACAGUUUCUACUGACACUAUCUCUCCCUCUCUGUGUCUCUACCACAGUUUGUUCUGACACUAUCUCUUCUUCUCCCUUUCUCUGUCUCUACCACAGUUUGUUCUGACACUAUCUCUCCCUCUCUCUCUCCGUGUCUCUACCACAGUUUGUUCUGACAUUAUCUCUCCCUCUCUCUGUUUCCACCACAGUUGUUCUGACACUAUCUCUCCCUCUCCCUCUCUCUGUCUCUACCACAGUUUGUACUGACACGAUCUCUCCGUCUCCCUCUCUCUGUCUCUACCGUAGCUUGUUCUGACACUAUCUCUCCCUCUCUCUGUCUCUUCCACAGCUUGUUCUGACACAAUUUUUCCCUCUCCCUCUCUGUCCCUUCCACAGUUUGUUCUGACACUAUCUGUCCCUCUCCUUCUCUCUGUCUCUACCGCUGUUUGAGAUUGAAUUCCUCAGUCCAAUACAGCACCACUGGUCAACUCCUUCCACAGCACAAAACGUAAAAUACACUGAGUGUUUCCAUGACAUAAACUGACCAGGUGAAUCAAGGUGAAUCCUAUGAUCCCUUAUUGAUGUCACUUGUUAAAUCCACUUCAAUCUGUGAGGGGGAGGAGACAGGUUAAAAAAUGAUUUUUAAACCUUGAAACAAUUGAGAUAUGGAUUGUGGACUGUAUGUGUGCCAUUCAGAGGGUGAAUGGGCUAGAUGAAAUAUUUAAGUACAUUGGGGUAUGGAGUAUGGUAGUAGUUCAAGAACUGCAACACUGCUGGGUUUUUCAUGCUCAACAGUUUCCUGUGUGUGUGUAUCAAGAAUGGUCCAACACCCAAAGGACAUCCAGCCAACUUGACACAACUGUGGGAAGCAUUGGAGUCAUCAUGGGCCAGUAUCCCUGUGGAAUGCUUUCAACGAAUUGAGUCUGUUCUGAGGGUAAAAUGGACUGCAACUCAAUAUUAGGGAGGUGUUCCUAAUGUUUU
rnacentral:lncRNA from 1 species